CGGGGUAGGCCGGAUCCUGGGCUGUGUCUCGGCGCCCUGUGCUCCGGGGCUGCGCUGUUGGAUUCUCUCCCGCCCCGCAGCCCCCU
rnacentral:pre_miRNA from 1 species